GACAGAGGGUGCAAACGUUGUUCGGAUUUACUGGGCGUAAAGCGUGUGUAGGCGGCUUCGCAAGUUGGAUGUGAAAUCCCACGGCUCAACCGUGGACGUGCAUCCAAAACUGCGUCGCUAGAGUCUCGGAGAGGAAGGUGGAAUGCUUGGUGUAGAGGUGAAAUUCGUAGAUAUCAAGCAGAACACCUGCGGCGAAGGCGGCCUUCUGGACGAUGACUGACGCUGAGACACGAAAGCGUGGGGAGCAAAAGGG
rnacentral:rRNA from 1 species